AAUGCAGAGGUGGGGGACAGAGUGGGUGGGGAGGGGAGCCGCCAUACAGUGGCCAGGACCAGCUUUGCCCAAGUGGUGGCAACCGCAUGACCACAGGAACGAUGGCGUGAGCCCCGUGGCAACCUGGAGGAAGGAAAGCAAUCAGCUUGAUCAAUGCCUACUGUAAAGACGGCACCGCCCUCCGGAGGUCCUUUCUCAGCCCUGGUGUUCGGACAGCCACAUCCCCUCGCAGCAGGGGGAGGCCUGAAGCAUAGAGGGGCCCAUGCAGGUCUAUUCUGUUUCAGCGAAUUGCCUGGGAAAUAAUCCAGGAUCCAUUUCGUGUGGUCAUCUUGUCUCCCUGGUCCCCUCCAGCCUUUCCUCAUCUUUUGUGACCUGGUCACUCUGGAAGGGCGCUGGCCAGUUAGUCCACAGGAUGGGCCUCCCCUGGGGCUUUUCUGAUGCUUCCUUAUGAUGGCACUGGCAUCCUGAGGGGGAGGACCACAGAGAGGAGGUGCUCCUCAUCACACCACAUGGGGGUCCAUGCACCAGUGCCACUGCUUUCCAGGGCUCUUCACCUUCAUCACUGGUGGAGGUGGCGUCUGCCAAGAAGCAGAAAGUUGAGGCUUAGAAGGUGCACGGCCCUACCUCUUCCGAGGUGCCCCUGCGGGCUGUCUACAGACCAGGCAGCACAUGCCUGAUAGCAGCUGCAUAAGGAAAAGCAGGAGCCAGCUCGUGCACAGUGGCCUCAAGUGUGCACUGGGCAUGUUCUCUGCCUCACCAUCCCUGUGUGACAGAUGAAGCUUCAAGGACCACAGAGGGCCAAGUGCAGGAGUAAGAGGCUGGCGUGCUGACAGUGGCCAAGGGCAUUGGAGGGAAGGACCUGUCAUCACUGGGCCAAGGAAGGAACUCCAGACUGCCUACUUCCAGAGGGCCUGCUGAGAACCCCAAAGAGCUCUCUCAACAAACACACCCACGAGUUCCAGGAGUGAGGCUGCAGGGAACAGCCUCACUCUCAGAGGGGAUACAGAAUUGUUCCACUGGACAAGGGCUGGGAUCGUCAUAGGAUGCCGUUGGCCUGUGGUUUCCAACAGAGGUGCAGUUCAUUGAACUGUGGUCUACAGUCCAUUCUCUAACUUGGGGACCCUUGAAGAAGUGUGGAAUCAUGACAACAACCCUGUUGGGAGACACUAUUAUUCCCAUCACAUGGAUGAGCACACGGAGGCAAAAGGAAGUUAUAUGAUUGUCUGAGAUCACCCAGUGAAGACUGUGUGGCUGGGAGUUGUCCCCAGUGUUAUCUGCACGCUGCUUCCUUUUGAUGCCUGGCCCUUCUUUAUCAAAAGAAGCAUUGGCAGAAUCUGGGUGUUUAUGGGUCAGCUCAAAAUAAAUUACUUUAUAUGUCA
rnacentral:lncRNA from 1 species